ACAAUAGAAAGCAUUUUGAUACAUUGUACACAAAUGGAACGCGAUUCUUCACUCCCCUGUAUGUAUUUAUUUUUAUGUGGUGCUGAGGAUUAAAUCCAGUGCCUCACAUGGCUAGGCAGGGGCUCCACCACUGAGCUAUAGCCCAGCCCCUUAUUCCAGUCUUAAUUGCUCAUAUCUGUAAAACUCAAUCACACAUCCCACUUCACACAGAGACAUAUAUGCAGGUCACAGAAAGGCUGAGAAAGGGUUAAGGUGGCCACAGAGGGUCAGGAGGCUGACCUGAGAGUAAAGCAGAGAGCAGACAUGGAUGCAGAGUCAGGAGGUGGUCAGAUAAGGUGAGGAACCAGCAGACAACUUGCUCAGGGCGCAGAACGGUCAAAGCAUGGGACUUAUCUCGGCCAAGACCCAUUUGGAGGAAGCUUCACAGUGUCAGUUUGGAUGUCAGUGUGAGAUGUCAGCUGAGAUGUCGGUGGGGUGGUACUUGCAGGGCCUCCACAGGUUGGAGGACACAGCCUGAGAGUUGCUGGUCUACACACCGUGGAGCCAUUCAUAGGCAGGUUCUUGUGGAGGCAGGGGGAGGGAGGGGGAUAAGAUGAGGGGUGUGACGGCCAAGGGACACUCUGGGCUCAGUUCUUCCUCUAGCCGAUCCUGACCUGGGAAUUGGGGUGCCCCUGCCCUGAUCCCUUCUCUCCUAGGAUCUGUGGAGAGAUUGUUCUGUGCAGGAACGCCUGCUCGUUGAAGGGCUGGGUGGUGGAUCAUCCAGUCUGGUGGCCAUGGAGACAGGCACGGUCUGUUUCAGCUCCUGUGUGCAGUGGGACCACAGUUAGGACGCAUGGUGUUUGGGGAUGAAGCCUCCGGUGGCCUACUCAGUCCUGUCUGGGUGCCGUGGCAACGGGGACCACGCUGUCUCCAGGGCUGUGAUGCUCCCCGCUCUCCAGCCUUUUCCUGGGCUGUCGGGUUGCCCUGGAGCUAGGCCUGUGGGGCGAGGAGGCUGGCGGCUCUGGGCUCCGGGUGUCAGAAGUAAAUUAAAGGCAGUGAAGAAUGAGCAUGGGGCCUCCUGCCACUUACGGCUGCCCUGGUCGGCAAACAUGAGAAGACCGUGGUGGGCAGAGGACUGUUGACAAAGAUGUAAGCACAGAGGCACCCAGCCUGGGAAAGCUGAGGGGCAAACACAGCCGGAGCCCCGGCCCCUUGCGAGCCGCUGCCCCAGCCCCUGGAAAGCCAGCCAGUGUCUUUCUUCCUGUGCCAGGGGGGGCCUCGCCCCACACUGGCCACCCAGCAGCCUCCCUGAGACACGCAGGUUGUCUGCCUGGUCUCAAGGCCACAUCUCCCACACGGUAGGAGGACUGGGCAGGCGCUUUCUCUGGGGUGUCUUGCUCCCUCUGGGGUUAGUUCUAGGGUGCUAGGUCAAUGUUUGUCUCCCUGGGCAGGAGUGAGGGCUUGUCCCAGAGGGCCAGAAGUCAGGCUGAGAAUGUGUCCCUGGAGUUAACAAUCAAGGCUCUGACAAGGCCCUCAAUACAUGGAGUGCUGUCUGGAAAAGGCUGAGCCUGGUGGGAGGGUCCUCUGGGAUGAAGGCCUGGGCCUAGAAGAUGAAGGCCAAAGAAUGGAGGCCAUAGGGUACAUGAAGGGCUGCAGAGACAGCCCAGGAGAUGACUUGAAAAUAGGGGUCUGAUUAUGUAAGUCACACAGCUGAUUGUUUUACAGCCUGACAUGCCUGUGUGACAUCUCCUCAUGUCUCCUGAGCCAUAGAGAGGAGGGAUCUGAAGGCCCUGGAGCAUCAGGAGGCUCUUGAGAGGACCACAUGACCCCUAGGAGUCACAUCUGUAAGAAGGACACUGUUCUCAGGCUAACAUUGGCCAAAGCUUCCUCGGGCUUCCUACUUGGCCUCAGUUGCCAUUCGAUGGGGGCAGGAGCCCGUGGCCUGUGACCUGUCCCACAGACCCUCCUGUAGUAGCCUCCACUUUGGUGACAAAGGUAUCACUUACUUGCCAUGGUCAAGAGCCUGUGGGUCGCAGCACUGUUGGCAGGAGGUGCUACGGAUCAUUGCCUCGCACCACAUGAGUGCUGGCCAGUUGCUCUGCCUGGCCACUGUUCCUGGAGCCCAGGCCUUGGACAUGGUGCUGUGCACAGAAACUUGAACAACAGAGGACGGUUCCUGCCUGCAGGACUCCCCAGAGCUAUAACAUGCAACGUUCAACGUGUGUCUCCCUAGGCCACAGGAUGGUCAGGGCAGCUGGGAGGGGCUCUGGCCUGGCAUGAUAGUCUUACCUCCUGCUCCUCAAGCACCGGCUACAUGCUGCACCUGGGAAGUGGGAUGCAGUGGGAGCCAGGCCCGGUCCCACUGGCCGCUGGGGAGGGCAACCUCCAAGGGCAAUCUCAGCCUGGUGCUCCCACAGAUCAGACAGGCUGUUCCAGGCUCCCUGGCCUUGAGGGAGCCACCACACACCGGCCUCCUGCAUGGCUGGGCUCUCAGAAGCUGCAGCCCUGUGGCCAUCCUGUCUGCAGUUCCUGGGAGACCACUACACAGUGCUGCCACCGAGCCCUCAUACAUAAGAGACUAGGGCCAGUGUGUCGACUGCUUCUGCAAGUUAGUAAGUCUUGCUCUGCACCAGUGGUUGGCUGGUUAAAUGGCAUAUCCUGGUAGAAAUCAGAGGCCUGGGAGGUCGUGGAGCAGGGAGCUGACCUACUGGCAGACAGAGGAGCAUCCUGGAGCCCCUGGACAGCAAGGGCGUGAAGCCCAGGGACAUGGGCAAGGUCAUAGAGAGGUUCACAGGCACCACCUCAUCACACUUGUGCUGCGACCUGUCACUAUACAUUUAACAAGAAAGUGUGCUUUUAAUUUUAUGUUUAAUUAUUGUAAUAUUUUAAUUAAAAGUCUGAAAACUUGUUAUGCACAAGUGAAGCCACAGGAGGAGCCGGAGGAAAGGCAGAGGGAGGCACCAGUGUCAGUGGUGGGUGGAAAUUCUGCAGGAAGGUUGAGCAUUGGUGGAGGGAAAGCAGAGUGCAAGGGUCCACACCACUGGGGUGACUGAACCAGAGCCACAGCCAUUGCAGAGAUCCCAGACCAUGCAGCUCCGAGGAACACAGCUGACUGUUCCUCCAGUGACUGAGCACGGAGUCACCAGGUGACCCUGCAGUUCCACUUCCGGGUGUGAAAUGAAAACACAAGGACUCAGUAGUCACAGCAGCCCAGAUGUGGAGCAACCAGGAGCCCCUCAGUGGACAAACUUCACUAAACAUGGUCAUCCACAUGCAGCUGCUCUGCAAAAGUGACCAGGAGUCAAGCACUGACACACUGCAGCACGGCAGACUACGGGAGCACAUGCUCCUGGGAGAGUGGUAACCAGAGGCAUGGUACAACAGAGACCCCUCCUGUGGUUUUUCCCCAGCCAGAUCCUCUACACAUACAGCUCAGCACACCUGCACCUGAGCCUGAUCCUCCACACACACAGCUCAGCACACCUGCACCUGAGCCUGAUCCUCCACACACACAGCUCAGCGCACCUGCACCUGAGCCUGAUCCUCCACACACACAGCUCAGCACACCUGCACCU
rnacentral:lncRNA from 1 species